CCUACGGGAGGCAGCAGUGGGGAAUUUUCCGCAAUGGGCGAAAGCCUGACGGAGCAACGCCGCGUGUGGGAGGAAGGUUUUAGGACUGUAAACCACUUUUCUCAGGGAAGAAGAACUGACGGUACCUGAGGAAUCAGCAUCGGCUAAUUCCGUGCCAGCAGCCGCGGUAAUACGGGAGAUGCAAGCGUUAUCCGGAAUUAUUGGGCGUAAAGCGUCCGCAGGCGGUUACACAAGUCUGUCGUUAAAGUACACAGCUUAACUGUGUGUGAGCGAUGGAAACUGUGUGACUAGAGUGCGGUAGGGGUAGGGGGAAUUCUCGGUGUAGCGGUGAAAUGCGUAGAUAUCGGGAAGAACACCAGCGGCGAAAGCGCCCUACUGGGCCGCAACUGACGCUCAUGGACGAAAGCUAGGGGAGCGAAAGGGAUUAGAUACCCCUGUAGUCCUAGCCGUAAACGAUGGACACUAGGUGUUGUCUGUAUCGACCCGGACAGUGCCGUAGCCAACGCGUUAAGUGUCCCGCCUGGGGAGUACGCACGCAAGUGUGAAACUCAAAGGAAUUGACGG
rnacentral:rRNA from 1 species